UGUUUUCUCCGCCUCCUCCCCCGCGUGCCGAGACUUCGCCGACUCCUUCCCCGUGCCCUAACCGGCGCCGGGCGGUUUCUGCUUCUCCUCUCAUUGGAUUUCUUCUCUGCCGCGCUGACCUCCGAUCACAAUCAACACUGAGCUCUAGCCCCGGUUGACCCACGAUUUCCUUUCUUCACCGGCCGCCUCCUCCUCUUCGCCGAGACCCCCUCCUCUUUCCCCAAGCGUCGGCGACGGUCGGCCACUGCGAGUCCAAGCCACCUUCUCUGCCGUGUGUGUAAGGUCUUCACUCCACUCUCCCCUGCCGACAGCCGCCCCUCACAGAGCGACCCCGCGAGCCACCGCCGGCCGAGCCCUCUCGAUUCUUCCUCCUCGCCGAGCGAUGGCGCCGGUCGCCACCGCAACCGACGUUGGCCAAGUUUCGGCUUACCCGUCUCUUCCUCUCUUCUGGUAAAGCAUCGCUAAUCUCCGUGGCCGAUCGUUUGAAGUUGCCACUGGCCACUGCCACCGGCUGAUUCGGCUGUGCCCUAGAUCGCCGGAAUCCAGAAGCUUGCGUUGGUCUUCGAUUUGGAGCAGCAACCCAAGCAUUGGUGUCCCCUUCCGUGCCCUAAUUUCACUGUUGGAUCUACUUCAGCCAUGUUGUGCUCCAGAUUCUCUCUGCCGGUGCCACUCUCUUCUUUACAGCAGGUUCGUGAUCUUAGAGUGAAGUGUCCAGCAAGAAUGUUGUGCUGUGGUUUGUUGAUUUCCAGCAGCAACCCCUUCCAGCAACCCUUGCUCCAACAACGAUCACGACUGUGAAUUGAGGAGUUUGACGCGAGACGAGUAUCUCGAUUUAUCGGAUUGGACCAUUUCUUAUUGGAGG